UCCAAAAAUAUAAUAUCCAAUCCAAUUAUUACAACUCGAAGUAAAAGGUACUGAAAAGUAAACCUACACUAAUCCUAAACUACGCUCCAAUGCUUUACCCGAUGCCCUGGAUCUUGAUCACGAACCUCCUUUGCAUACAUGAUACUUCGGGGAAUUCCCCAGUGAAUAAAUACAAAUGACCACGGGGCAUUCCUCGGCUAAAUGAAUACAUUUUCCACAUGAGAGAAAAAUAAAAUCAUUCAACAAAUAUUCCAAACACUCAACAAUCCACAAUCCCUAAGUUUUGCCUACCCGAGCCUACCGUUUGCCUAUCCGGCUUGACUUACCAUGAUCCUAUUGUGUUUAACAACAUAAAUACUUAUUUCGAAUUAACCAAACAUCACUGAAUCAAAAUAAUCAAUAUUCACUUUUAUCAAUUUUUCAAUUCUCGUCCCACUUAUUCCCAAUUGGAUCUAAAUCAUUCAACUAUCCAAACCAAGUGAACAAUCAACCAAUAUCCACCAUCAUUGACGAUUCAAACACAACCAAAUUAGAUAAAGCAAUGCACACACAUUAUGAAUUCACCACACGAAGUAUCAACAACUUAAAAUUAAUCAAAAAUGAGAUAAGAAAUGGACCUCAAACAAAAUUUAUUUUGGUGUUAUUGUAGCGGAGUAUCGAAGCUCCAAAAUAGUAGCUUUGAAGAAGAGCCACAGACUAAACCUCAAUCAAAAAACCCCAAUGAACAAACUAGACUAUCAAAAACUUCACCGUAUAAAACUAAUCCGAUCCAUUUAAGGGCCAAUGGAUCCAACUUCUGAAAUUUUUGACUGUUGAUGGUGGUUUUAUUAUUGAAAAUAGCAGCAGACGUUGGCUCAGAGAGUUUUUUCAGUGAGAUUCAAUGGAAAACUUAGACAAAGGCAUGAAAUGGCGCUACUGGUGCUGGGGAUUUAGAUGUUUGGACACUGGUUUUUAUCAGGAUUUAGAAGGUGAUGGUGGAAUUUCAUGAUGGGGCGACAUCAAAGUUUCACUAGAAAAGCUUGGUUGGAGCUGUUUUUUCCUCUUUUCUGUUCAAUCUCUAUUUUUCUCUCAGUUUCUUUCAUCUCUCACUAUUUCUCUCCCUUAAUUCACUUCCUUUUUAACUCUUUUUUUCUCCUCCCUCUCUUGAAAUCUCUCCCACUCAAUUUUCUCUCUUUCUUUCUGAUUGAGUAUGGGUGACUGUGUAUACAUGCUUAAAUUGUGUGUGUUGUAGUGUGUAUGCAUAUAUGAAAAAAUGGAGAUGAAGUGUGUUACCUCUUCAAAGGAAAAAUCCAAUCCCCUUUUCUGUGUAUUGUAUUCUACUAUAUGGAAAAAUGUGUGUAAGUGGAUUGCCUAUAAACAAAAAUGGAGGAGAAUGAUAUGGGUAUCUGUGCGUGUAUGGCCUCUGUGUAUAAUUGAGGUAUGUGCAUAUUAUAUGUACAGCUGUGUGUGUAUAUUUCAUUAGUGAGAUAGGGGAGGGGGUCUGGGGUAGUGAGUGGUAGGAGGGUAUGUGGUGGUAGGGUGUGGGGUGGUGAUGUGUCAAAAUU
rnacentral:lncRNA from 1 species